UCGUGCGCCUUUCAUGCUUGCGAAUGAUGAAAUCGAGUUCUGCCAUGAAUCGCGGUGGGAAGUAAGCUAGCGCCCUUGCGCGGUUGUUUAGAAAUGUGUUAAAGUGGAGCAUGGCCUCCGAGAUUGCACCAGCGUACGAAUGCUCCACUUCGAUGCACCAGGCUGCGAGUGGGGCAUCCAGUGGAGUCUGUGGAGAGUUCGUAGUGGCGCGAGUAUGCGGACUGCCCCAAAGCGACUACAGGCAAAAGCCAAGGUCGCGUAUCGCUUUAUGCCACCGUGACAAAGACCAUCCUUUUGAGCAACGAUGUUGAGCCAGCAGCUGCGUUAUGUUGCAGAAUGCUGAUGACUGCAGGACAUCUGCAUAUCCGAGGCCAACGCCAGAUGAACGGGAGCAGUUCAUGGACGAGCUGCAAGUCGUGGGGCAAGCAGAAUACCUUUGCGCAGCCGAGAAGAACACACUCGAAGCAUUUGUUCAGGAAGGCGAGCCUGGAGAAAUGGGAGUACCUCAGGAAGUGUCAAUUGAGAACUUCUUGUGCCUGGAAAUUAAGGAAGGACCCCUUGUGCCUGCUAGGAAAACUAAGCCUCGAGGAAAAAAAGUCAACAGAAAAGGCACUUGUUGGUUACGCUGUGAUGUGUGUCAGUAUACCACAAGAUGGCCUAGUAAUCACAGGAAACACAUGAAAACCCACCAACAGAAGCGCUUCAAGUGUGACGUUUGUCCGGGGACAUUUUCGACAGAGAAUGAGGAUCAUUUCAAGGCUCACAUGUGGGUUCAUACUGGCGUGAAGCCAUUCAAGUGCAACAAGUGCUCGUAUGCAACCACGAGGAAGCAUCUCUUAGAAAAACAUAAUUCAGAACAGCACAUUGAACUGAGCAUUAUCUAUGUUGAGUGAACAUUGCAUUCAACUAAUAAAGGGAUGGGGAGGAGGGCAGGACACUCGGCUUCCCCAAGAGCCAUUGACCUGGGGAAUCGUCUUCUUGAUAUACAGCUUCCAAGGCCAGUCAUGCAAAUUUGUAACGUCCUUUAAUAAUUCAUGCUUUUUACAUCAUUUAAUUGAGUUCUCCCAGCGUGCCAUUACCUGCAUUUGUCAUUUGUUUUCUUGUUUCCACUGUUGCUUUCGGUGCCCUAUGUCCUUUUGUAAAAUAUUUUGUAAUAUGUUUUUUAGGAGAGGGAAGGGGAAUUGAGGGCUGUUAAAGCUAUCUGUAAAGCAUGCAUGCAUUCUGUCUUUUCUUUUAUAUUAAUUUUUUCCUGAAAAUAAUUUUUCUUUUUUUCUUAUAAAGAUGAAAUAUUCUUUUAUGCCUUCUGCUAGCCUCUUGCAUAUGUAGUAUGCUACUUCCUUCUUUUUUCCUAACAUAGUGUGUCAUUGUUAGUGCCAUUACUUUUAUUUUUUUCAUGUUAGUAAACUGCAUUGCUGUGUAUCCCUCCAUUAUGCAAUUCCUUUUGGUGCCCAUAAGGUAUUUAAAUGAAUAAACUUGUCCUUUUCGAUUAUGCA